rnacentral:rRNA from 1 species
UGCAGUCGAGCGGUAGAGAGAAGCUUGCUUCUCUUGAGAGCGGCGGACGGGUGAGUAAUGCCUAGGAAUCUGCCUGGUAGUGGGGGAUAACGUUCGGAAACGGACGCUAAUACCGCAUACGUCCUACGGGAGAAAGCAGGGGACCUUCGGGCCUUGCGCUAUCAGAUGAGCCUAGGUCGGAUUAGCUAGUUGGUGAGGUAAUGGCUCACCAAGGCGACGAUCCGUAACUGGUCUGAGAGGAUGAUCAGUCACACUGGAACUGAGACACGGUCCAGACUCCUACGGGAGGCAGCAGUGGGGAAUAUUGGACAAUGGGCGAAAGCCUGAUCCAGCCAUGCCGCGUGUGUGAAGAAGGUCUUCGGAUUGUAAAGCACUUUAAGUUGGGAGGAAGGGCAGUUACCUAAUACGUGAUUGUUUUGACGUUACCGACAGAAUAAGCACCGGCUAACUCUGUGCCAGCAGCCGCGGUAAUACAGAGGGUGCAAGCGUUAAUCGGAAUUACUGGGCGUAAAGCGCGCGUAGGUGGUUAGUUAAGUUGGAUGUGAAAUCCCCGGGCUCAACCUGGGAACUGCAUUCAAAACUGACUGACUAGAGUAUGGUAGAGGGUGGUGGAAUUUCCUGUGUAGCGGUGA